rnacentral:rRNA from 1 species
GUCCUGAUGGCUCACAUGAAGUUUCGUGCCGUUCCGACCUCGUUUGAUACGGUUAUGGUUAACCACACGGCCCCUCGGGCCCGACCCGAGCCCAGUCAACGUUUUGACCCGAUCAAAUCGGCCCGUGACCCGAAACGACCCUACUUGGGCCCUACAACAGCCACGUAAAGUUUCGGGAUGAUCCGACGUUCUUUCAUGGGGUUACGGACAAUCCACGCCAAACAAGCGUCACGGGCCGACCGAGCCGGGCCAACGGGCCCUCGGGACCCGAAAACUGAAUUUUUUUUCAUCCAAACCCAUUAAAACACGUUACCGAGGUCUCACGCAAAAUUUCAUGCCAAUCCGACGUCGUUUGAUGGGGUUUUGAGAUAUUAUGAUUCCUCAAAAAUUUAAUGUCUGUUCCUGUCACUUAGCUUUUUGUGCAAAAUGUAUAUAUAGGGGAGGGGUGGGUGUUGAGCAGCCCAUGCCCGGGCAAGGCAUGCCAGCGCCCAAGCCAAAGGAGGCUGGUGGCGUGCGUAUAACAGCUCAAAUGCCCCAACGAUGACCGAGAACAAGCGCCCAUCUCCCCUCCUUCCCCCCCACCAAGCGCCCCUCCCCCCCCCAUGUUGCCUGCCCACUCGCACAGCUACUCGUGAUUUCAUGCCCAGCGACUAGUGAAUGUGCCUCGACGACCAGCAAACCUCGAAAAUUAUGAUUCCUCGUAAAAUUAAUGUCUGUUCCUGUCACUUUACUUUUUGUGCAAAAUGUAUAUAUAGGGGAGACCAGGGGCUUGAGCAACCCCUGUGCCCAAGCAAGGGUCAGAUGGAAGCACACGAGACGCGAGGUUUAAAGCCUAUACAAGCAAGGCGUCUGUCUCCCCAAGCCCCAUUGCCUAUAAAACAAGCCCGAUGCCUUGUAAAUGCCCCACACGAUGCCUAUAAACGACAACGAUGUUUGCUAGUUAAUCGAUCGACGCCCCACACCUUGCAGCAUGUUGCCUAGUAAACAAGCCAUGCUGCCUUGGAAGCGCCCCACAUCAUGGCAUGUUGCCUAGCACGCUGCCCUUGUUUCCAGCACGGCGACCUGAAAGCGUGGCCUGACGACGUGCUUGCCUUCGAAAAUUAUGAUUCCUCAAAAAAUUAAUGUCUGUUCCUGUCACUUUACUUUUUGU